CAUGGAUUUGGGGCUCUGCAAAGAGGGGAGCUGAAUGUGAGACUGUUGAAUAAAGUGAGGUCUCUCAAAGGGAACAGAAGCAGAAAGGUUUCCCACUAGCACAGAUGAGUCUGGGCUCUCGAAGUCAGCCAGAAAAGCUCCUAUGAAACCCAAGAGAGCUCCUACACAGAGAAGGAGAAGCAAGCACUUAAGGUAGGCUGAAGCUAGCAGUUAUUGCCUGCAAGUUGGUCACCAUGGAAACAACAACACAAGAAAAUCUCCCUCCACUACCUCAUUCUUUAAUAUCUGAAAUUUUAAAUUUACAAAAUUAAGAUACAAAGAAUCAAUCAUGAAGUUGAAGUUUACACGAGUGCUUUCUGCUGUUGCAUGUUGCUCAAGGGCUGGCUGUCCGGUGCAUUACAAGAUGUUUAGCAGCAUCCCUGACCUCUACUUGCUAGAUGCCAGUAGCAUCCCCACCUCUCUACAGUCAUGACAACAAAAAAUGUCUUCAGGCAUUGGCAAACUUUCACCUUCAGUUGAGAACCACUGUUACAGAUCAGCUCCUGCCAGUCAUUGGUUGAAUGAUAUUGGAGAAAGGGAUGUCAUUUCAUCAGGGAAGGCAAACAAAAGUUCAAUGGCCAGAGAAAGCCUUCAGGCAAAGAAGUCAGGCACUGGCAGUUGGAAUCCUGCUAGCAUACGCUGAAAUCGUGAGG